CCUACGGGAGGCAGCAGUGGGGAAUAUUGGGCAAUGGGCGCAAGCCUGACCCAGCAACGCCGCGUGAAGGAAGAAGGCUUUCGGGUUGUAAACUUCUUUUGUCAGGGACGAAGCAAGUGACGGUACCUGACGAAUAAGCCACGGCUAACUACGUGCCAGCAGCCGCGGUAAUACGUAGGUGGCAAGCGUUAUCCGGAUUUACUGGGUGUAAAGGGCGUGUAGGCGGGGAGGCAAGUCAGAUGUGAAAACCACGGGCUCAACCUGUGGCCUGCAUUUGAAACUGUUUUUCUUGAGUGCUUGAGAGGCAAUCGGAAUUCCGUGUGUAGCGGUGAAAUGCGUAGAUAUACGGAGGAACACCAGUGGCGAAGGCGGAUUGCUGGACAGUAACUGACGCUGAGGCGCGAAAGCGUGGGGAGCAAACAGGAUUAGAUACCCGGGUAGUC
rnacentral:rRNA from 1 species